UCCCAGUUCCAAACGCUGCCCGUGUCUUACCCUGUUCUAUUAGAGCAUGCCGACUUUAACAAUGAACACAGAAAAUGUCUGUACAGAAAAAACACCCUUAAAAAUGGUUUUUUUUCUUCCUCCCCCCACAACAGGUGGACAUGGACAUAAAACAAG